rnacentral:snRNA from 2 species
AUACCUUUCUCGGCCUUUUGGCUAAGAUCAAGUGUAGUAUCUGUUCUUAUCAGUUUAAUAUCUGAUAUGUGGGUCAUGUGCCCACAACGAUAUUAAAUUUAUUUUUUGUGGGGGAGGGCUCAUCACAGUGGCUUGCCACUGGGGCCCUCAGGUGUCGCCCAGUGCGUUGCACUAUUGCCUGGGCAGGCGCACCCCAA